GCUGGAGGUAUCAGAAGUGCGAAUGCUGACAUAAGUAACGAUAAAGCGGGUGAAAAGCCCGCUCGCCGGAAGACCAAGGGUUCCUGUCCAACGUUAAUCGGGGCAGGGUGAGUCGACCCCUAAGGCGAGGCCGAAAGGCGUAGUCGAUGGGAAACGGGUUAAUAUUCCCGUACUUGGUGUUACUGCGAAGGGGGGACGGAGAAGGCUAUGUUGGCCGGGCGACGGUUGUCCCGGUUUAAGCGUGUAGGUGUGUGUUCCAGGUAAAUCCGGUUCACUUUAACACUGAGGCGUGACGACGAGGCACUACGGUGCUGAAGCAACAAAUGCCCUGCUUCCAGGAAAAGCCUCUAAGCAUCAGGUAACA
rnacentral:rRNA from 1 species